UUCUCUGAAAUUUGCAUCAGU
rnacentral:piRNA from 1 species